GAUUAUGGCUCAGGAUGAACGCUAGCUACAGGCCUAACACAUGCAAGUCGAGGGGCAGCAUGAUCUAAGCUUGCUUAGAUUGAUGGCGACCGGCGCACGGGUGAGUAACGCGUAUCCAACCUUCCCUAUAGUAGAGGAUAGCCCGGCGAAAGUCGGAUUAAUACUCUAUGUUUUCCAAUGCAGACAUCUAAAAUGGAACAAAGGUUUACCGCUAUAGGAUGGGGAUGCGUCUGAUUAGGUUGUUGGCGGGGUAACGGCCCACCAAGCCUACGAUCAGUAGGGGUUCUGAGAGGAAGGUCCCCCACAUUGGAACUGAGACACGGUCCAAACUCCUACGGGAGGCAGCAGUGAGGAAUAUUGGUCAAUGGGCGAGAGCCUGAACCAGCCAAGUAGCGUGCCAGGAUGACGGCCCUAUGGGUUGUAAACUGCUUUUAUACAGGGAUAAAGUGCGCCACGUGUGGCGUUUUGUAGGUACUGUAUGAAUAAGGACCGGCUAAUUCCGUGCCAGCCGCCGC
rnacentral:rRNA from 1 species